AAAUGCGAUAAGUAAUGUGAAUUGCAGAAUCCAGUGAAUCAUCGAAUCUUUGAACGCACAUUGCGCCCGCCAGCAUUCUGGCGGGCAUGCCUGUUCGAGCGUCAUUUCAACCCUCGACCUCCCCUUGGGGAGGUCGGCGUUGGGGACCGGCAGCACACCGCCGGCCCUGAAAUGGAGUGGCGGCCCGUCCGCGGCGACCUCUGCGUAGUAAUACAGCUCGCACCGGAACCCCGACGCGGCCACGCCGUAAAACACCCAACUUCUGAACGUUGACCUCGAAUCAGGUAGGACUACCCGCUGAACUUAAGC
rnacentral:misc_RNA from 1 species